rnacentral:misc_RNA from 1 species
UCUCCGUUGGUGAACCAGCGGAGGGAUCAUUACCGAGUUCCAGCAACUCCCAACCCUUGCGGACCGUACCCCAGUCUGUUCUCGUUGCUUCCGGCAGGCGGGGGGGGCCACCUGGCCCCUCCCCCUGCCGGGGGCGGCGGGCCCUACGAACCUUUAUAUCUCAACCACCAGAAACCGUCUGAGAAAACAAACAAAAUAACCAAAACUUUCAACAACGGAUCUCUUGGCUCUG